GUAGGGAAUUUUCGUCAAUGGGGGGAACCCUGAACGAGCAAUGCCGCGUGAGUGAGGAAGGUCUUCGGAUCGUAAAGCUCUGUUGUAAGAGAAAAACGGCACUCAUAGGGAAUGAUGAGUGAGUGAUGGUAUCUUACCAGAAAGUCACGGCUAACUACGUGCCAGCAGCCGCGGUAAUACGUAGGUGGCGAGCGUUAUCCGGAAUGAUUGGGCGUAAAGGGUGCGUAGGUGGCAGAUCAAGUCUGGAGUAAAAGGUAUGGGCUCAACCCGUACUGGCUCUGGAAACUGAUCAGCUAGAGAACAGAAGAGGACGGCGGAACUCCAUGUGUAGCGGUAAAAUGCGUAGAUAUAUGGAAGAACACCGGUGGCGAAGGCGGCCGUCUGGUCUGGAUUCUGACACUGAAGCACGAAAGCGUGGGGAGCAAAUAGGAUUAGAUACCCUAGUAGUCCACGCCGUAAACGAUGAGAACUAGGUGUUGGGGGAAUAACUCAGUGCCGCAGUUAACGCAGUAAGUUCUCCGCCUGGGGAGUAUGCACGCAAGUGUGAAACUCAAAGGAAUUGACGGGGGCCCGCACAAGCGGUGGAGUAUGUGGUUUAAUUCGAAGCAACGCGAAGAACCUUACCAGGCCUUGACAUCCCUUGCAGAGGUAUAGAGAUAUAUCCGAGGUUAUCAAGGAGACAGGUGGUGCAUGGUUGUCGUCAGCUCGUGUCGUGAGAUGUUGGGUUAAGUCCCGCAACGAGCGCAACCCUUGUGAUAUGUUACUAACAUUGAGUUGAGGACUCAUAUCAGACUGCCGGUGAUAAACCGGAGGAAGGUGGGGAUGACGUCAAAUCAUCAUGCCCCUUAUGGCCUGGGCUACACACGUACUACAAUGGCGUCUACAAAGAGCGGCAAGCCUGUGAAGGCAAGCGAAUCUCAUAAAGGACGUCUCAGUUCGGAUUGAAGUCUGCAACCCGACUUCAUGAAGCUGGAAUCGCUAGUAAUCGCGAAUCAGCAUGUCGCGGUGAAUACGUUCUCGGGCCUUGUACACACCGCCCGUCAAACCAUGGGAGUUGGUAAUGCCCGAAGCCGGUGGCAUAACCCUUCGGGGAGUGAGCCGUCGAAGGCAGGACCGAUGACUGGGGUUAAGUCGUAACAAGGUAUCCCUACGGGAACGUGGGGAUG
rnacentral:rRNA from 1 species